UCUCCCCCGCACACAGUAAGUGCAUACUAACCAUCAUCAGCACACAAUAAGCACAUACUAACCAUCAUCCCCACACACAGUAAGUGCAUACUAACCAUCCCCGCACACAGUAAGCACAUACUAACCAUCCCCGCACACAGUAAACACAUACUAACCAUCAUCUGCACAAACUAAACACAUACUAACCAUCAUCUGCACACAGUAAGCACAUACUAACCAUCAUCUGCACACAGUAAGCACAUACUAACCAUCAUUCCCGCACACAGUAAGCACAUACUAACCAUCACCUGCACACAGUAAGCACAUACUAACCAUCACCUGCACACAGUAAGCACAUACUAACCAUCACCUGCACACAGUAAGCACAUACUAACCAUCCCUGCACACAGUAAGCACAUACUAACCAUCAUCUGCACACAGUAAGCACAUACUAACCAUCAUCCCCACACACAGUAAGCACAUACCAUCAUCCCUGCACACAGUAAGUGCAUACUAACUGUGAUCUCUGCACACAGUAAGCACAUACUAACCAUCAUCUCUGCACACAGUAAGCACAUACUAACC
rnacentral:lncRNA from 1 species